rnacentral:rRNA from 1 species
UGCAGUCGCACGAGAAAUUCGGGCUUCGGCCCGGAGAGUACAGUGGCGAAAGGGUGAGGAUAUCGUGGACAAUCUAUCCUGGAGUGGGGAAUAACCUUCCUAACGGAGGGCUAAUACCGCAUUCGUCCAGAGAGUCGCAUGGCUUUCUGGAGAAAGAUGGGGAUCCUUCGGGACCUAUCGCUCCUGGCGGGGUUCACGACCCAUCAGCUAGUUGGUGAGGUAACGGCUCACCAAGGCUCUGACGGGUACCCGGGCUGAGAGGCUGACCGGGCACACUGGAACUGAGACACUGUCCAGACACCUACGGGUGGCUGCAGUUUGGAAUUUUGGGCAAUGGGCGAAAGCCUGACCCAGCGACGCCGCGUGAAGGAUGAAGGCCCUCGGGUUGUAAACUUCUGUCACACGUUAGGAAACGUUUGGUAGCGAAUAACUGCCAGACUUGACAAAGGCGUGGGAGGAAGCGCCGGCUAACUCUGUGCCAGCAGCCGCGGUAAGACAGAGGACGCGAACGUUGUUCGGUGUCACUGGGCUUAGAGGGCGCGUAGGCGGUUCGGUUUGUGGGAGGUGAAAGCCCCGAGCUUAACUCGGGAAUUGCCUUCCAAACGGCCGGGCUUGAGGAUCGGAGGGGGAAGCGGAACUUCACGUGUAGCGGUGAAAUGCGUUGAUAUGUGAGGGAACGCCGGUGGCGAAGGCGGCUUCCUGGCCGAUUUCUGACGCUGAGGCGCGAAAGCGUGGGGAGCAAACGGGAUUAGAUACCCCGGUAGUCCACGCUGUAAACGAUGGGCACUAGAUGACGGGAUCUCUGAUGGUUUCGUUGUCGAAGCGUAAGCGUUAAGUGCCC